AGCCUAGCUAUCUUCCUAAAAACAAGGUGACUCAUCUCCUCAAUACAAUAACCAAAUUUUAUGACAUAAUGGCGCACCCCAUUAAUUCACCUUUUAUUUUUGGAAGGCCAAGCAAACUUCGCUUUUGACUUCCCUGGACUAUGGCUUCGGGGGGGGCCAUUAUGCAGCGGCGAUUGCCGCACCUUUGUGUUCCUGUCCUCGCGGAGGUGUGGACAAGCGCGAGGGAUUCUCUGAAGAAGAGAGAAAGAGACAUCGAUCUCAGCAGAGCCUCCCUGCAAAGAGACAUCGAUCUCAGCAGAGCCUCCCUGCAAAACUAAGGCUAGAAUAAAAAUCUAUAAACAAAAUAAAGCCUAUCCCUUUAAGAAUCCCGGGCUGACGGUUGAGGAACAGGAAGUGACGCGACUGCCAGGUAAACGAGAAGAACAGGUGUGUCUGUACUGGCGGGGCAAGAGUUCUGAGAGUCUGUUUAAAUACUUCCAUGGCAGCAAAGUUUCCAGUUUGGCGUUUAAAGGCCAAAAUAAAUCACAAGUAAAAAAAAAAUUGAAAUCGCGUGUUGGAAACAAAACAGUUUCAUAUAUUCACAGUGUAUGGAAAACGGAAAAUGCGCAUAUUCUGGAAUGUAAAUAAAAUAACCGGAGCUGCCGUACUACAGACUUCCCGACCGAUUUCGGUGGGAUUUCACUGUAACUCGGUGCUUAGCUGAAGUUCAAACCUCACGUUAAAACCUCACUGAGUCCACAGAACUACAUUUCAACUGGAACAGCUAUCCAAACAUGUAUUACACGUAGAAAGAAGGAUUCAACUGAUAUUGCAGUUUCA